GCACCCCUGGAAGGUGGUGAACAAUGAACGUCAAAGAGUGUGUGGAUGUGGAGUGAAAACCGCGAGGUGGGAAAGAAACGAGAAAUAAACCAGCAGGGAAAGAUGAGGCGAGUGUCCUCUCGGCUGGGAUCCCUGCCUCAUCUGCAAGCCAUAACAGCCAGCCUGUGGGAUAAAUGACUUCUCCCCUGUGUUGGAAGGAGACCCAAGUGAAACAGACACUUCCUGGAGAGGCGAUGUUGCCACCUGACACCCCAGGCAGAAGGAAGUCUUUGCUAUCGGGAUCCCCCAUUCAGCAAGACGGAGGGAAAGUCCCUGGGAUUGGAGAUGUAAAUCCCAGGGCAGGGUGCAGGAGACCCUGAAGAGCCUGCUGCACCUGGGCUUUGUCUAAAGGGAAAGGCAUGUUGGGGUUGGACCUCAUCCCUGGAAUGCAACUGUGAGGAGCAGCAGUUGGAAAGAGGAUUAUUCCUUGAUGAUUAUGGAGAACUAGCGUGUCAGCAAAGUGUCAGAGCAAACUCUUUCCCACGGGAAUAGUAACACACUCCCACAGCUUAUGGUAGCCACCGGCCUGAAAGCUACAUCAGUGGCUGAAGGGAGCUCCACUCAGGUCUUUCCCAUUUCUUCCUUCUCUUCCCCUUAUUUCUUCUUCCAGUGAAGAUCGAAAGACAGAAACAUCACUCAGAUCUUGCUAGAGUGUUGGAAAUACCGUGCCUUUGUUUUGGAUGAUUUGUACUGAUGUGCCACUUCAAUGGGAUGUACAAAGUGUGACUUGGGUGAUGACCAUUUAGCCAGGACUGAGCUGGUUAACAAAGUUUGCAGGCUGAGCACAAAGACUGGGUGGAAUGGAAGCAGCCUGCCAUGCACUUAUAGGACUCUAGUUUUAAACAAGAGAUCUUUAUGAAGGAAACCAGAAAACCAGACCUAUUGUUCAUCUGAAAAUUAAUUCCUGCCGAUUAAACCAUUGGCUUUUAUUUUUUCCCCACCUGAUGCAAUGCAGUGCCUCUCUGUUGGUUUUGUAUAUGUGAUUUGCUAUGCAAUUCAAAUACUAAAUAAGAAGGAGAGACAAACUUUCAUCCCAGGACAAACAGAGAAUCAAAGGUGAAAGGUAGGAUUCAGAUUUUCUCAUUUAAUUACAAAUAAAUAACAUGAGCCGUUCUUUACUGAAAGUCUU
rnacentral:lncRNA from 1 species